CCUACGGGUGGCAGCAGUGAGGAAUAUUGGUCAAUGGACGGAAGUCUGAACCAGCCAUGCCGCGUGAGUGAAGAAGUAUUUCGGUAUGUAAAGCUCUGUCAGCAGGGAAGAAAGCAAUGACGGUACCUGACCAAGAAGCCCCGGCUAACUACGUGCCAGCAGCCGCGGUAAUACGUAGGGGGCAAGCGUUAUCCGGAAUUACUGGGUGUAAAGGGAGCGUAGACGGCUGUGCAAGUCUGGAGUGAAAGGCGGGGGCCCAACCCCCGGACUGCUCUGGAAACGGUAUGGCGGGAGUGCAGGGGAGGUAAGCGGAAUUCCUAGUGUAGCGGUGAAAUGCGUAGAUAUUAGGAGGAACACCAGUGGCGAAGGCGGCUUACUGGACUGUAACUGACGUUGAGGCUCGAAAGCGUGGGGAGCAAACAGGAUUAGAUACCCGAGUAGUC
rnacentral:rRNA from 1 species